rnacentral:rRNA from 1 species
AGUUGGAUCCUGGCUCAGAACGAACGCUGGCGGCGGGCUUAUCACAUGCAAGUCGAACGCCCCGCAAGGGGAGUGGCAGACGGGUGAGUAACGCGUGGGAAUCUACCGUACCCUACGGAAUAACGCAUGGAAACGUGUGCUAAUACCGUAUACGCCCUUCGGGGGAAAGAUUUAUCGGGGUAUGAUGAGCCCGCGUUGGAUUAGCUAGUUGGUGGGGUAAAGGCCUACCAAGGCGACGAUCCAUAGCUGGUCUGAGAGGAUGAUCAGCCACAUUGGGACUGAGACACGGCCCAAACUCCUACGGGAGGCAGCAGUGGGGAAUAUUGGACAAUGGGCGCAAGCCUGAUCCAGCCAUGCCGCGUGAGUGAUGAAGGUCUUAGGAUUGUAAAGCUCUUUCACCGAUGAAGAUAAUGACGGUAGUCGGAGAAGAAGCCCCGGCUAACUUCGUGCCAGCAGCCGCGGUAAUACGAAGGGGGCUAGCGUUGUUCGGAAUUACUGGGCGUAAAGCGCACGUAGGCGGAUAUUUAAGUCAGGGGUGAAAUCCCGCAGCUCAACUGCGGAACUGCCUUUGAUACUGGGUAUCUCGAGUGUGGAAGAGGUGAGUGGAAUUCCGAGUGUAGAGGUGAAAUUCGUAAUAUUCGGAGGAACACCAGUGGCGAAAGCGGUUCACUGGUCCUUACUGACGCUGAGGUGCGAAAGCGUGGGGAGCAA